rnacentral:rRNA from 1 species
AACGAACGCUGGCGGCGUGCCUAACACAUGCAAGUCGUGCGAGAACGGGGGGCAACCCCCUAGUAGAGCGGCGCACGGGUGAGUAACACGUAGGUGACCUACCUCCGAGCCUGGGAUAACCUGCCGAAAGGUGGGCUAAUACCGGAUAUGACCACGGGAAUUUCGGUUUCUGCGGUGAAAGGUGGCCUCUAUUUAUAAGCUACCACUCGAAGAUGGGCCUGCGCGCCAUUAGCUAGUUGGCGGGGUAAUGGCCCACCAAGGCUUUGAUGGCUAGCUGGUCUGAGAGGAUGGCCAGCCACACUGGGACUGGAACACGGCCCAGACUCCUACGGGAGGCAGCAGUGGGGGAUAUUGCGCAAUGGGCGAAAGCCUGACGCAGCGACGCCGCGUGGGUGAUGAAGGCCUUCGGGUCGUAAAGCCCUGUCAAGGGGGACGAAACGGGUUCGGCCUAAUACGUCGGGCCUCUGACGGUACCCCUAAAGGAAGCACCGGCUAACUCCGUGCCAGCAGCCGCCGUAAAAC